UGCUUUUAGGAAUAAAGCUUUUUCUGAGAGCAAAGAAAUGUUGGACUACUAACACUGCUUUCCUGUUCUUUCAGAAGACUUGAGAUGACUUGGCAUUCUUUUUUCAUUGGCUGGAAAACAGGCCCAGGAAACCUAGAGUCCUGAUGACAUUUCUUAAGGAUUUGAUUGAGCCAGUUACAAGCCUGUGGAAGAGAGGUUCCAUGGCUAUGGGAAUGAAUCCUGAUAAUGAAAGGAUGUGUUGGAGGGAUUGGCACUGGCUUACAAACUGUCUGGUGCUAAAGGAGAAAUUCCAGCUUUCACCCUGCUGCAGAGGGAGCAGAUGAUGGCACACUUGAGAGGAAGGUGUCCAAAGGGCUCUUGAGAAUGAUGAUUGGGGUGACUUGGAUGUGCACAGUGCUGCUACCUAAAGUCCUGAACUUUGACUGAACUUGGAAUUAAAGCAGUUUCUGAAGCAAAGCUAUGCUCCUACCUCAGGCAAGGACUCUGAUCUGCCUAAAGACAAACUGGCACAAGACAGCAGUGGAAGAACAGGAAUUUGGAAGGGUAAGGAGCUAUGAGCUUUUGGCAGAUUUCUAGUACAAGACAUGCACGCAAAGAAAUGUCAGACCCCUGUGGAUUGUGGAUUUCUAAUCAAUAAAUAUUGUUGUAUGAAA